GUUGUCAUGGUAUGGUUAAGGUGGGGGGGGUUAAGGUUAGGCAUUUAGGUUUGAUGGUUAAAGUUAGGGUAAGGGGCUAGGGAAUGCAUUAUGUCAAUGACUGGUCCCCACAAAGAUAGUGAGACGUGUGUGUGUGUGUGUUUAGAGGCAGAGGGUAGAUGGGUAGCUCUGUGGUGUUGUGUGUUUGUGUGUGUGGGUGUGUGUGUGUGUCGUGUGUGCGUGUGUGUGUGUGUGUGAGCCUGGCUGGCUGUGCCAAUGGCGUUUCUCGGGAACAGACGGCGCCGCCAGCCGGGCCUCACCACGCUCACUCAGCUGGCGAUCCGGGGACAAAAUGGUUUAUUUCUUCUGAAAAUACAAUUUCUGAAUCCUGUUUCAUGUGUUUCUCCAUUGUUCAGUAUGUCUGUGUUUUUUUUUUUUUAAAUAAUUGUGAUUUGAUUUCUUUUUUUUUUUACUAUAUUGAAUUCUAUAACUGACUGUAAUUCCAGUGUCAACGUGUUGAGAGUGAAAUGUCAUUUCAAUGGAUUUGAAAGGUUGAAUGUGAGGGGGGUCAAAAUGAAUGGUUUUAUGUUUUGUACAGAUUGAUAAAUUGUACAAUUGUGUCUAUAUCUUAAGUUAUCAGUUCAUCUUAAUAAAGCGCACCAGUCAUAAACCUUUA